GAGUUUGAUCAUGGCUCAGAACGAACGCUGGCGGCAUGCCUCAUACAUGCAAGUCGAACGAGGUCUUCGGACCUAGUGGCGCACGGGUGAGUAACAUGUGGGAAUCUGCCUGAAGGUUCGGAAUAACUGCGGGAAACUUGUGCUAAUACCGGAUAAGUCUUUACGGAGAAAGCUUUAUGCACCAUUGGAUGAGCCUGCACUUGAUUAGUUUGUUGGUGGGGUAAUGGCCUACCAAGACUGUGAUCAAUAGCUGAUUUGAGAGGAUGAUCAGCCACAUUGGGACUGAGACACGGCCCAAACUCCUACGGGAGGCAGCAGUGGGGAAUCUUGCACAAUGGAGGAAACUCUGAUGCAGCGAUGCCGCGUGAGUGAAGAAGGCCCUUGGGUUGUAAAGCUCUUUCGUCGGGGAAGAAAAUGACUGUACCCGAAUAAGAAGGUCCGGCUAACUUCGUGCCAGCAGCCGCGGUAAUACGAAGGGACCUAGCGUAGUUCGGAAUUACUGGGCUUAAAGAGUUCGUAGGUGGUUGAAAAAGUUGGUGGUGAAAUCCCAGAGCUUAACUCUGGAACUGCCAUCAAAACUUUUCAGCUAGAGUAUGAUAGAGGAAAGCAGAAUUUCUAGUGUAGAGGUGAAAUUCGUAGAUAUUAGAAAGAAUACCAAUUGCGAAGGCAGCUUUCUGGAUCAUUACUGACACUGAGGAACGAAAGCAUGGGUAGCGAAGAGGAUUAGAUACCCUCGUAGUCCAUGCCGUAAACGAUGUGUGUUAGACGUUGGAAAUUUAUUUUCAGUGUCGCAGCGAAAGCGAUAAACACACCGCCUGGGGAGUACGACCGCAAGGUUAAAACUCAAAUGAAUUGACGGGGACCCGCACAAGUAGUGGAGCAUGUGGUUUAAUUCGAAGAUACGCGCAGAACCUUACCAACACUUGACAUGUUCGUCGCGACUCUAAGAGAUUAGAGUUUUCGGUUCGGCCGGACGAAACACAGGUGCUGCAUGGCUGUCGUCAGCUCGUGUCGUGAGAUGUUGGGUUAAGUCCCGCAACGAGCGCAACCCUCACUUUUAGUUGCCAUCAUUAAGUUGGGCACUCUGAAAGAACUGCCAGUGAUAAGCUGGAGGAAGGUGGGGAUGACGUCAAGUCCUCAUGGCCCUUACGUGUUGGGCUACACACGUGCUACAAUGGUAUCUACAACAGGAAGCAAGACGGCGACGUUAAGCAAAUCCUUAAAAGAUACCUCAGUUCGGAUUGCACUCUGCAACUCGAGUGCAUGAAGCUGGAAUUACUAGUAAUCGUGGAUCAGCGUGCCACGGUGAAUGCGUUCCCGGGUCUUGUACACACCGCCCGUCACACCAUGGGAGUUGGUUCUACCUUAAGGCAAGGUUUUAAACCCUUGACCGCGGUAUAGUCAGCGACUGGGGUGAAGUCGUAACAAGGUAACC
rnacentral:rRNA from 1 species